CCGGGCCCUUUUUUGGUCCCCCAAAAGAAAACCUGCGGCAGGCCUAACACAUGCAAGUCGAACGGUAACAGGAAGAAGCUUGCUUCUUUGCUGACGAGUGGCGGACGGGUGAGUAAUGUCUGGGAAACUGCCUGAUGGAGGGGGAUAACUACUGGAAACGGUAGCUAAUACCGCAUAACGUCGCAAGACCAAAGAGGGGGACCUUCGGGCCUCUUGCCAUCGGAUGUGCCCAGAUGGGAUUAGCUAGUAGGUGGGGUAACGGCUCACCUAGGCGACGAUCCCUAGCUGGUCUGAGAGGAUGACCAGCCACACUGGAACUGAGACACGGUCCAGACUCCUACGGGAGGCAGCAGUGGGGAAUAUUGCACAAUGGGCGCAAGCCUGAUGCAGCCAUGCCGCGUGUAUGAAGAAGGCCUUCGGGUUGUAAAGUACUUUCAGCGGGGAGGAAGGGAGUAAAGUUAAUACCUUUACUCAUUGACGUUACCCGCAGAAGAAGCACCGGCUAACUCCGUGCCAGCAGCCGCGGUAAUACGGAGGGUGCAAGCGUUAAUCGGAAUUACUGGGCGUAAAGCGCACGCAGGCGGUUUGUUAAGUCAGAUGUGAAAUCCCCGGGCUCAACCUGGGAACUGCAUCUGAUACUGGCAAGCUUGAGUCUCGUAGAGGGGGGUAGAAUUCCAGGUGUAGCGGUGAAAUGCGUAGAGAUCUGGAGGAAUACCGGUGGCGAAGGCGGCCCCCUGGACGAAGACUGACGCUCAGGUGCGAAAGCGUGGGGAGCAAACAGGUAUUAGAUACCCUGGUAGUCCACGCCGUAAACGAUGUCGACUUGGAGGUUGUGCCCUUGAGGCGUGGCUUCCGGAGCUAACGCGUUAAGUCGACCGCCUGGGGAGUACCGAACAAAGGUUAAAACUCAAAUGAAUUGACGGGGGCCCGCACAAGCGGUGGAGCAUGUGGUUUAAUUCGAUGCAACGCGAAGAACCUUACCUGGUCUUGACAUCCACGGAAGUUUUCAGAGAUGAGAAUGUGCCUUCGGGAACCGUGAGACAGGUGCUGCAUGGCUGUCGUCAGCUCGUGUUGUGAAAUGUUGGGUUAAGUCCCGCAACGAGCGCAACCCUUAUCCUUUGUUGCCAGCGGUCCGGCCGGGAACUCAAAGGAGACUGCCAGUGAUAAACUGGAGGAAGGUGGGGAUGACGUCAAGUCAUCAUGGCCCUUACGACCAGGGCUACACACGUGCUACAAUGGCGCAUACAAAGAGAAGCGACCUCGCGAGAGCAAGCGGACCUCAUAAAGUGCGUCGUAGUCCGGAUUGGAGUCUGCAACUCGACUCCAUGAAGUCGGAAUCGCUAGUAAUCGUGGAUCAGAAUGCCACGGUGAAUACGUUCCCGGGCCUUGUACACACCGCCCGUCACACCAUGGGAGUGGGUUGCAAAAGAAGUAGGUAGCUUAACCUUCGGGAGGGCGCUUACCACUUUGUGAUUCAUGACUGGGGUGAGCGUACAGAAGGGGUCCACGCAAAAAAUGG
rnacentral:rRNA from 1 species